rnacentral:rRNA from 1 species
CCGCGCGCGGCGGGCGGGGCGGGGGCNCCGGGGGCCUACGGGAGGCAGCAGUAGGGAAUUUUGCGCAAUGGACGAAAGUCUGACGCAGCAACACCGUGUGGACGAAGAAGCUUUUAGGAGUGUAAAGUCCUGUCAGUAGGGACGAAAUUUGACUGUACCUACAGAGGAAGCAUCGGCUAACUACGUGCCAGCAGCCGCGGUAAU